GAGAGGUGGUCGAGUGGUUUAUGGCAGCGGUCUUGAAAACCGUCGUACCUGCGAGGGUACCGUGGGUUCGAAUCCCACCCUCUCC
rnacentral:tRNA from 1 species